UACGGGGGGGCAAGCGUUGUUCGGAAUUACUGGGCGUAAAGGGCGCGUAGGCGGGAUGGCAAGUCGGUCGUGAAAUCCUUCGGCUCAACCGAAGAACGUCGAUCGAUACUGCUGUUCUUGAGGGUUGCAGAGGAGACUGGAAUUCCCGGUGUAGCGGUGAAAUGUGUAGAGAUCGGGAGGAACACCGGUGGCGAAGGCGGGUCUCUGGGCAAUUCCUGACGCUGAGGCGCGAAGGCCAGGGGAGCGAAACGGG
rnacentral:rRNA from 1 species